rnacentral:rRNA from 1 species
UAACGAAUCUUCCGCAAUGCACGCAAGUGUGACGGAGCGACGCCGCGUGUGGGACGAAGUCCUUCGGGAUGUAAACCACUGUCAGGGGUUAGAAAGUUCUGAUCAACCCCAGAGGAAGGCACGGCUAACUCUGUGCCAGCAGCCGCGGUAAGACAGAGGUGCCAAGCGUUAGGCGGAAUCACUGGGCUUAAAGCGUGUGUAGGUGGACUGGUAAGUACCUUGUGAAAUCCCACGGCUUAACCGUGGAACUGCUUGGUAUACUGCUGGUCUUGAGCAACCUAGGGGCGAGCGGAACAAAUGGUGGAGCGGUGAAAUGCGUAGAUAUCAUUUGGAACGCCAAUGGUGAAAACAGCUCGCUGGGGGUUUGCUGACACUGAGACACGAAAGCCAGGGGAGCAAACGGGAUUAGAUACCCCCGUAGUCC